rnacentral:lncRNA from 1 species
CAAGUAGCGAAUGCGAGUCUCAAAAGACGGAAGAAUGCAGGAGUGGUAAAACUCACAAAACCUUACUAUGGCAAAACCCAAGGUGGGAGAAAAGCCCAUAGGCUAAGGAGAAAAGUGAGAAGUUGCAUUAAGUCAAAACUAUACGUCUUCUGGACGCAAGUAGAAGAGCUCACAAGGGUAUGAUCAGCCCAGGAUGGGUGCCUCGUUAAAACCUAGUUAGGUAGCAAAAAUCCAGUGGGAAAAAUGCUCCUAAUCGUAGGGAAAAAGAGUACAUUAAGAUCAAGUGAGUAUACUUCUAGAUACUCCCCCUGAGUUUGACAAAACUUCCAAAUGAAACUACAAGCAUUGCAAAUGAGAAAGUUACGCAUACCAAUUCAUUGGACAAGCUUCUGGAAGGUAGACUUUGGUAGUGGCUUUGUGUAGAUGUUGGUAAGGUUGUCUGGGAUUGGACUGCUUGACUUCAAUCUUCUGAUGCUCAUGCUGAUGUAGACACAAUAUGCUUGGUGUUGACUUUGUUGGAUGUAUCAUGAUCUGGUCGAUACAUACAGCGUUGUAUUCAUGGAUCGUUGUUGGGACUUAACGAUGGAUGAAAAUCGCAAGGAUUUUGAAUAUGCUCAACAAGAAUUCUCGACUACAUCUUUCACGUGAUGAGAUAUAGUGAGUCUUGGAACGAUUCAAAGUUUCGCAACAAAAAGGUCUAUCUAGUUAACCUCCAAGAUAUUGCGGUGUUCCUUAAUGGUAAAGACAUAACCAUGCGGGAACGUACCUUGUGCGGUCAGACAAAUGGUCUGAUUCAGCGAAUCCCACAAGGUAGGCAUCAUUCCGAAGAUCAAGGGGGUGUGAUCUAUUCUGAGA